GGGGACAUGGAGGGGGCACGGGGAUGUGGGGGGGCAUGGAGGAACGUGGGGACAGGGAGGGGACGUUUGGGGAUGUGGGGGGAUGUAGAGGGACGUGGAGGGGAUAUAAGGGACAUUGGGGGGAUAUUUGGGGGACGUGGAGGCAUUUGGGGACACGGAGGGGUCAUUUGGGGACAUGGAGGGGUCAUGUGGGGACAUGGAGGGGGGCGGAGAGAAAUGUGGGGACGUGAGAGGACACCGAGGGGACACUGCGAGACAGAGAAGGAUUUGGGGACGUGGAGGGGACAUUUGGGGACAGGGGGGACACUGAAGGACAUUUGGGGACGCAGAGGGGACGUUUGGGGAGGUGGGGGGACAUAGAAGGACAUGGAGGUGACAGUGGUGACGUGGGGGGGGCCGUGGAGAUGCAGAGGGGAUGCAGAGAGCCAUGGGGCCAUCAGGGCACAGAGAGGUGACAUUGAGGGACAGGGAAGUGGCAUUUGGGGACGUGGGGGGGACUUGGGGGUGUAUAGGAGGAUUUUGGGGACACGGAGGUGACAUUUGGGGACGUGGGGGAGACGCUGGGGGACAUGGAGGGGACAUACGGGGAUGUGGGGGGGGUGUGGGGACAUGGAGAGCCGUGGGGCCAUCAGGGGACAGAUAGGUGAUGUUGAGGAACACGGAAGUGGCAUUUGGGGACAUGGGGGAGACGCUGGGGGACAUGGAGGUGACAUACGGGGAUGUGGGGACACAGAGGGGACACGGAGAGCCGUGGGGCCAUCAGGGGACAGAUAGGUGACGUUGAGGGACAGGGAAGUGGCAUUUGGGGACGUGGGGGGGAUUCUGGGGCACACAGACGGAAUUUGGGGACACGGAGGUGACAUUUGGGGACGUUUGGAGCCUGAAG
ensembl:lncRNA